AAGACUAUACUUUCAGGGAUCAUUUCUAUAGUUUGUGACCCAGGAUGUGAUCUAGUGAGGAGAAUUCCAUGUGUGCUAGAGAAGAAUAUAUGUUCUGUAGCUUUGGGAAGGAAUGGUCUGAAUCUGUCUGUGAAGU
rnacentral:snoRNA from 1 species